GGGUGUCAUCAUACCAGGACUAAUGCACCGGAUCCCAUCAGAACUCCGUAGUUAAGCGUGCUUGGGCGAGAGUAGUACUAGGAUAGGUGACCUCCUGGGAAGUCCUCGUGUUGCACCCC
rnacentral:rRNA from 1 species